CAUCCAUCCAUCCAUCCAUCCCUAUUCAGCCGGACGGCGAGGCUGAGCGGGGGCGGCGUCGCCGCCGAGCUCCACACAUGUUUGCGCAUCGAGGCCGCACCCGCAGGUCGGGAGAGGUCGCGUACUCGCGUCAGGUGGAGCAGAAGCUGGAGUGCUGGCGUGAGGACCCAGGAGGCGACGCCGACGAGCAAUUACCGCGUGUGAUUGAGAACAAACGACUGCUGGUUCUUGGACUGAGAGCAAAAUCAACCAAUUACUAGACAUACGGGGCUAGGGCUAAUCCAUCCAAAUUAAUCCAUGCACGGAUGUAACAGGAGCGAGCUUCGAGGGAGAAAUUGGUAGCCUGGGUGCUUGCUUGUGUGAUGCUGCAGCUGCUGCCCUUCCGCAUCAGAGAAAGAUUAGGCCACUGCUUGGUGAAUUUAGUGCUAGCGUAACUGCGUGAGGAAGAAGAAGUAAGGAACAGGUGAUCUCUCCGGCGUCCGCCGCUCACACGCUGCUCAUAUUGCGUCA